rnacentral:rRNA from 1 species
GACGAACGCUGGCGGCGUGCUUUAGGCAUGCAAGUCGAACGCGAAAGCCCCUUCGGGGGUGAGUAGAGUGGCGAACGGGUGAGUAACACGUGGGUAACCUGCCCCUCGCAGGGGGAUAACCGGGGGAAACCCCGGCUAAUACCCCGUACGCUUGCUGGGGCGCAUGCUCCGGCAAGGAAAGGUAGCUUCGGCCAUCCGGCGAGGGAGGGGCCCGCGGCCCAUUAGCUAGUUGGUGGGGUAACGGCCCACCAAGGCGACGAGGGGUAGCUGGCCUGAGAGGGGGGUCGGCCACACUGGGCCGGAGACACGGCCAAGACUCCUACGGGAGGCAGCGGCCAGGAAUCUUGCGCAAGGGGCGAAAGCCGGACGCAGCAACGCCGGGUGGGCGAUGAAGGCCUUCGGGUCGUAAAGCCCUGUUGUCGGGGACGAAGGGCGAAGGGUUAAUAGCCCCUAGCCUGACGGUACCCGACGAGGAAGCCCCGGCUAACUACGUG